UGGGGAAUUUUGCGCAAUGGGGGAAACCCUGACGCAGCAACGCCGCGUGAGUGAUGAAGGUUUUCGGAUCGUAAAGCUCUGUUGCCAGGGAAGAACGUCCGGUAGAGUAACUGCUAUCGGAGUGACGGUACCUGAGAAGAAAGCCCCGGCUAACUACGUGC
rnacentral:rRNA from 1 species